GGGUGGUUGCACUCAACUUCAAAUGUUGCCCAAGCUUCCUUUAAAUAUUGCAUAUAUUGAUGCAAGAGGGUGUACCUCGCUGGAAACAUUAUCAUUAAGUCUAGAAUAUGAUUUUCGGCCGAAUAUAUAUCUUCACAAUUGCGUCAAAUUGCUUAAUAAUCAAGGCUACGGUGAAUUGUUGUCAACAAUUCUAAGACAUUAUAUCAGUGAGGGACGCUAUCAGGAGAAUCGUUAUACAUAUUUCACAAUUCCUGGAAGUGAAAUUCCGAAAUGGUACAGGCACCAAAAUGUGGGGGCUUCAGUGAAUCUACAAGUGCCAUCACAUUUAUUAUUAAGUAACAAAUUUAAGGGAAUCGCUGUGUGCGCUGUUUAUAUAUUCUGCCAACAUCAUCCAUUUCACCAACUUCAUACUGAAAAUUAUAGAUAUAUGAUAAGUACGCAUAAGGUUUGUUGUUUCGUUAAAGCUAACGGACAUCAAUCUACCAGAGUGAUCCUUCCUUUAUCGGAGGAAUUUGGUGAGAUUGAAUCGUAUCAGCUUUGGCUUGAAUAUAUUCACUCUAGACACUUGGGAAGCGACUGGGAAGAAAAUUUGAAUCGAGUGGAUGCUAAUGGAUUCACCCAAAUUGAGGUUACAUUUGAAUCGAAAGGUCCAGGCUUGGAGGUCACGAAAUGCGGAGCCCAUGUGGUAUACGAGCAAGACAUAGAAGAUCUCAAACAGACUAUGGCUGGGGCUGGGUCUAGCAGUUGCAUCAUCACUCCUUAUUAUGAGAAUGAGUCUGAUGAUGAACCAGAACCACCACACCCAAAGUGGAUAGAGCACCCUAAUCUAAUUGAAAAUUGGAUUGGGAAUGUAUGCACAUAAGGUAACUCUGAUUGUGUGGAAACUUUUUUUCUUUUUCUUUGAUGUUUUUGUAAGUCACCUCUUUCUCUUUCUUAUGGGACUAGUUUGCAAUUGAUUGUGUCUACUGUUCAUCAUUUUUGUUCAAUUAAUUGGACCCUUUUUACUAGAGAGGUCUUCUUCUCUUUUCACCUGGGCAUUUUUUUUUCUUCUUCAUCACAUUAACCCUUUCGGAAUCUGAAAAUGGAGUCAAUGAUUUUUUUCAGUUGUAUUCUGGAACAUUUAAAUUUUGGAACAUUUAAAUUUAAAUUCUGGGUUUCCAUUGAAACAUUUAAAUUUUGUUUUCUUAUCCUAUAUUUUUCAUAGAAACUGGAUGAGUGAAGAAAUGCUGUGUUUUAUGCUUUCUCAUGGUUUUGUUUUCAGAGCACAUAAGCAUGGCUCAAGCAUGCCAGUUAUGUUUGGCUUUGCUAGAAUUUCUUUCCUUACCAUAAAAGCAGGGGAACUAAAAGUAGGUUAUGUAUGUUUUCUGAACGCACCAGUUGGAGUUAUGCCCCAGAAGAACUUGUGUCUUUCUUGCUGCUAUGGUGGCUCUGGUUCAACAGGUAAAAGCUACCAGUUAUCAUGUUGUUUUGUAAUUUGAUGUUCAAUUUUGGUUAUAUUUAAGUUUGAGAUAAUUUUAUAGUUUAUAUGGCUGGUACAUUGCACAAUUAUGAAGUGGUAUGUUCCUUGGCUUGGCUAAGGUGGAAGGUGUGCAGGCUGUGAGAGAGGGGUUGGACUUUUGGUUUUUAGUGCUUAUGUAUUCAAUUUCUCAUUGUGAUUCUAAAUUUUAAGAAGGGGCUUUCUGAUUCUACGUGCUUCAAGUUCACUUUGGAAGGGAGUUUGGCACUUAAUAAAUAGAAUCAUAAUCAUAAUACAAACGCUAGACUACUAGAAGAUACAUAAGCCUCAAUUUCUAGCAAAGAAGAUUCAAUUGCUAGAAAUUGGCCAACCUUGAUAGUGCAGAAGCAUGGGCUACUCUUCUAACAGCAUGUUGAUAUGUAGUUUUAGCAAACAAUAAGCCAUUGUGUGGCCUCUUUAUCUGAUAAAUGGUGUCUCAUUCGUCUGUUGAUGAUUGGCAAUAGCAAAAGAAAGAUAAAAAAACUAUAAUUAUGAGCAAGACCUAGUAGAACUAGUAGCUCUAAUGAGGAAUUUCACCUUGAGAGUCUAAGAAAACCCCUUGAUCCCAUUUUUAAAGAUGAGGGAAAACAAGCUCUAGAAUAACCUUUCCAGUACUUGCACAGUUUCCUUCAUUACUUCUGUGCUCCUCCUUCUGUCAUAGAUUUAUAUAAAAGAUAUCAUUUAUUUCUUCUUUUCUUUGUGAUUUGGUGAGAUCUGAAUUUUCCAUGGAUACAUUUAACUCACAUUAGCAUUCCCUCAUUUUUCGUAAAAAAAUAAUUUUUAUGCAAUUUGUGUUUGCUCUGUUCAAUUUUCCUGUCAAUUAAAUUUUCUGAAGUUGAGUCCUGUCCUACAUGAUAUCUUUCUUAUUUUAUUAUUUUAUUUUAGAUCCAUGAACUUCUUUUAAGGACAUCACAAUUUGAUUUUAUAUCAUGUGGGAAUUACUUUGUGCAUUAUUUUUGUAUGCUGCCUGCAUUAUCCACUUGACCAACUUCCUAGUACUGAAGAUUUGGGAUAUAUGAGAUAUACGCAUGGGCUUCAAUGUUUCAUUAAAGCCAGCAGAUAUGAAUCUGGUGAAGUGGAUCUUCUUUAUCCAAGGAACUUGGUAAGAUUGAAUUGUAUCAUAUUUGGCUGGAAUAUUAUCCCUCAACAUUCUUCGGAGAGGACUGGUUUGAAAAAUUGAAUUGAGUCAAAGCUAAUGAAUUCAGUCAGAUUGAGGCUACAUUACAAACCUUCGGUCCAGGCUUGGAGGUUACAAAAUGCGGUGCCCAUUUGGUAUUCGAGCAAGUCAUUGAAGAUCUCAAACAAACUAAGGCUGGGUGUAGCAGCUAUGUAAUCAUUCCUAAUGAGGAUGAUUUUGAUGAUUCAGGAAAAGACACCAACAUUAAGCAAAGGCAUGAUCACUAAGAUGGGGAUGGGGCUGGACUAGUGCAGAAGGUACCUUUAAUGAUGUACAACCACACCCAAAGUGGAUAGAGCACCAUAUAUAAUUGAAAAUUGGUUUGGGAAUUUUUGCACACAACGACAAGGUGACUCUUAUUGUGAAGAAGAGGAAUCCUAUUGAAAGUGGAAACUUUGAUGAAUCUACACAGCUGUGUCUCCACUCUCCAAAGAGGGCUGAUGGCAUAAAAGUUAUUGCUGUCACUGCAGGGAGAGUCAUUGGAUCCAUAAGAGGUCUCAAUUGUAAGUGACUGGUCAGGAUAGAUGGUGGAGAAGCACAGACUCCGUCUUGUAUACAAAGAAGAUGCACAACAGAUUUGGCAAAUUCAAUCCACUUGCAGUCACAUUGAGGUUUCAGCUGUAAGCAACUUCCCACGUUUGAUGGUGCAGAAGUGUGGGCAAGGUUUAUUAGACCCUCAAGAGGAGGAAGAGUUUGGGUAAACAAUCAUUAAAUUCUCUAAAGAGACUUAUCACAAUGUGGAUCUCAUUCAUCAAUCAGUAGCAAGUGAUAUUCCAAAUGAUAAUCAAGAGUGAAUCUUGUUGCUCGUAUGAGGACCUAUAUUCUGGAAGGUUAAGAGGACCCAUUUAUCCAAAGCAGAUCAGUGGAAAUAGCAUUUAUAUUGAUUUUUGAGGACCAACACCCUGAUAUUCAACUCAACCAAAAUGAUUUACUCGUAAUAAAUGUGUGUAUUUCCUUUGAAAGUACCAUCUCUCUCUCUCUCUCUCUCUCU